AUGCCUUAAACUUACGAGUAAGGAAAAUAACGAUUCUGGGUGACGCCUGGAUCCUCACUGGGAAUAUGAGACAAAGUUUUUGAGCGGGUAAAGGUGGCCCCCAAGGUGACCCGCCUACUUUGCCGGAUGCCUGGGUGCUGCAAUCUGCCCG